rnacentral:rRNA from 1 species
GCGGUAGCACAGAGGAGCUUGCUCCUUGGGUGACGAGCGGCGGACGGGUGAGUAAUGUCUGGGAAACUGCCUGAUGGAGGGGGAUAACUACUGGAAACGGUAGCUAAUACCGCAUAACGUCUACGGACCAAAGCGGGGGACUUUCGGGCCUCGCGCCAUCAGAUGUGCCCAGAUGGGAUUAGCUAGUAGGUGAGGUAAUGGCUCACCUAGGCGACGAUCCCUAGCUGGUCUGAGAGGAUGACCAGCCACACUGGAACUGAGACACGGUCCAGACUCCUACGGGAGGCAGCAGUGGGGAAUAUUGCACAAUGGGCGCAAGCCUGAUGCAGCCAUGCCGCGUGUGUGAAGAAGGCCUUAGGGUUGUAAAGCACUUUCAGCGGGGAGGAAGGCGGUGAGAUUAAUACUCUCAUCGAUUGACGUUACCCGCAGAAGAAGCACCGG